CCUACGGGUGGCAGCAGUGGGGAAUAUUGGACAAUGGGGGCAACCCUGAUCCAGCCAUGCCGCGUGUGUGAAGAAGGCCCUCGGGUUGUAAAGCACUUUCAGUGAGGAAGAACGCCUGGUGGUUAAUACCCAUCAGGAAAGACAUCACUCACAGAAGAAGCACCGGCUAACUCCGUGCCAGCAGCCGCGGUAAUACGGAGGGUGCGAGCGUUAAUCGGAAUUACUGGGCGUAAAGCGCGCGUAGGUGGCUUGAUAAGCCGGUUGUGAAAGCCCCGGGCUCAACCUGGGAACGGCAUCCGGAACUGUCAAGCUAGAGUGCAGGAGAGGAAGGUAGAAUUCCCGGUGUAGCGGUGAAAUGCGUAGAGAUCGGGAGGAAUACCAGUGGCGAAGGCGGCCUUCUGGACUGACACUAACACUGAGGUGCGAAAGCGUGGGUAGCAAACAGGAUUAGAUACCCUUGUAGUC
rnacentral:rRNA from 1 species